rnacentral:rRNA from 1 species
CCCAAGAGAUCGGGAUAACACCUGGAAACAGAUGCUAAUACCGGAUAAUAACAGAUGAUGCCUAUCAACUGUUUAAAAGAUGGUUCNUGCUAUCACUCUUGGAUGGACCUGCGGUGCAUUAGCUAGUUGGUAGGGUAACGGCCUACCAAGGCGAUGAUGCAUAGCCGAGUUGAGAGACUGAUCGGCCACAUUGGGACUGAGACACGGCCCAAACUCCUACGGGAGGCAGCAGCC